rnacentral:rRNA from 1 species
GACAGAGGGGGCAAGCGUUGUCCGGAGUGACUGGGCGUACAGCGCGCGCAGGCGGUUGGUGACGUGCCGUGUCACAGCCCUGAGCUCAACUCAGGGUGGCCACGGUAGACGCACCGGCUGGAGGCAGGGAGAGGGAUGUGGAAUACCCGGUGGAGCGGUGAAAUGCGUAGAGAUCGGGUGGAACACCAGUGGCGAAGGCGGCAGCCUGGCCCAGAACUGACGCUGAGGUGCGAAAGCGUGGGGAGCGAACGGG